rnacentral:tRNA from 1 species
GCGCUCGUAGCUCAGUUGGAAGAGCAGCGACCUUCUAAGUCGCAGUGCGGGGGUUCGAAUCCCUCCGGGCGCG